rnacentral:misc_RNA from 1 species
GAUGAAGAACGCAGCGAAAUGCGAUAAGUAGUGUGAAUUGCAGAAUUCAGUGAAUCAUCGAAUCUUUGAACGCACAUUGCGCCUCCUGGUAUUCCGGGAGGCAUGCCUGUUCGAGCGUCAUUAAAAUCACUCAAGCUUAGGUUUACCUAUUGCUUGGUCUUGGAGAUGGAAGCCAAUUCAUUGGAAUCCUCUUCGAAAUCCAAUGGCGAAGACCCUUGCUCUCCCAAGUGUAGUAAUCACUUAUGUCACUGAAGGAAGCGAGAAAUCUUCCGCCGUAACCCCCAUAUUUUCUAUGAUUGACCUCGGAUCAGGUAGGGAUACCCGCUGAACUUAAGCAUAUCAAUAAGCGGAGGA